rnacentral:pre_miRNA from 1 species
GUGGCGUGGGGCCGACUCUGGGCCAUGGGGAAGAGGCCCGGCCCAUCGGGCUCUGCGUUCACGGCCUCGCUUGGCCCCACGUACAG